rnacentral:rRNA from 1 species
UACGUAGGUGGCAAGCGUUGUCCAGAUUUACUGGGCGUAAAGAGCGCGCAGGCGGCUGGCCAAGUCCGAUGUGAAAGCUCCCGGCUUAACUGGGAAACUGCAUCGGAAACUGGUCGGCUUGAAGGUGGGAGAGGGUAGCGGAAUUCCCGGUGUAGUGGUGAAAUGCGUAGAUAUCGGGAGGAACACCAGUGGCGAAGGCGGCUACCCGGCCCAUUCUUGACGCUGAGGCGCGAAAGCUAGGGGAGCGAACGGG